GUGCUCAGUUCAAAAACACCUAUACUGUAACUAGAAUAACACUGAGAGAUCAGCAAGCCCCCUGUGCAAGGAUGACAUGCAAAUUUGUGAAGCAUUUACUAUCUUA
ensembl:snRNA U6 U6 spliceosomal RNA